rnacentral:rRNA from 1 species
ACUAAUCUGCCAAAAUAGUUUAAAUUAUUUAUAUUCAAUUAUAAAAUAAUUAUUUAUUAAAUAUUAGGUCCUUUCGUACUGAAAUAUAUUUAUUUUUUAAAGAUAGAAACCAACCUGGCUUACGCCGGUUUGAACUCAGAUCAUGUAAGAAUUUAAAAGUCGAACAGACUUAAAAUUUAAGCGGCUACACCUAAAAUUAUAUCUUAAUCCAACAUCGAGGUCGCAAUCUUUUUUAUCGAUAUGAACUCUCCAAAAAAAUUACGCUGUUAUCCCUAAAGUAACUUAUUUUUUUAAUCGUUAUUAACGGAUCAAUUAUUCAUAAAUUAAUGUUUUUAAAAAUUAAAAGUUUAUUAAAUUUUAAUAUCACCCCAAUAAAAUAUAAUUAAUUAUUAUAAUAAAAAAAAUCUACAAAAUUCUAAUAAUCUAUAUAUAAAGAUUUAUAGGGUCUUCUCGUCUUUUAAUAUUAUUUUAGCUUUUUGACUAAAAAAUAAAAUUCUAUUAUAAAUUUUUAUGAAACAGUUAAUAUCUCGUCCAACCAUUCAUACCAGCCUUCAAUUAAAAGACUAAUGAUUAUGCUACCUUUGCACAGUUAGUAUACUGCGGCCAUUUAAAUUAUUCAGUGGGCAGGUUAGACUUUUUAAAAAAUUCAAAAAGACAUGUUUUUGUUAAACAGGCGAAUAUUAUUUUUGCCGAGUUCUUUAUAAAAACUUUUCAAUUUAUUUUAUUUACACAAUAUAAUAUACUAAGGCGAAUAUUAUUUUUGCCGAGUUCUUUAUAAAAACUUUUCAAUUUAUUUUAUUUACACAAUAUAAUAUACUAAUUUUAUCAUUAUUAUUUUAUUUUUAUUAUUAAAAUAAAUACUUUAAUACAUAAUUAAAAUUAAAUAAAUAAUCAAUAUUAUAAAAUAAAUUAUAACAAUUUCAUUAAUAAUAACUAUUUCUAAGCUUACAUUUAUUAAGUAAUUUAAUAAUUUUUAAUAAUUUAUUUCAUAGCUUAUCCCACAAAAUAUUAAAAUUAAACAAUUAUUUAAUUAAUUCACUUAAUUAAAUAAUAUAAAAUUUCUAAAUUAAAUUUAUUUCUUAAAGAACUAGAUACCUUUAAAAACGAAUAACAUUUCAUUUCUAAUAUAUUAUAUAAAAUAAUUUUGUCACAUUAACUUUUAUAAUAUAUUAACUCUUUUAAAAUCGAGAAAAUUAUAUUAAAUAAUUUUUAUUUAAUAAACCCUGAUACACAAGGUACAAUAAAUUAAAUUUUCUUUUAAAAUAUUAAUUUUUCAAAUUAUUUCAAUUUUCUUUCACAAUACUAUUUAACUAUAAUUAAAAUUAUUUUUUCUUUAUAAAAUACUCAAACAAAUCAUAAUAUAAUUAUUUUUAAUAAUUUAUAA